ACUCAGCAACGUACAAGUUCAGAUUUAUAACAAAUCAGACCGGAGGGAAAUAUUUUGGGAGCCCUGGAGUCACUUUGUCUGUUACAGGCGUGCAGGUGAAGGUGACCACUACAUGGUGGUCAACGACACUGACCUGUAGCACCACCUGUACUCUGACUGACAACCCCAACCCCACCUACAUCUGGUACAGGAACAGUAAGAUUGUACAACAGGACUCCUCUCCCUCAUACAAAGUCCGCUUUAAAACUGAAGACAGCUUCUACUGUGCUGUAAAAGGCAUCAAUUCUAAUGCAGUGUUGGUAAUGGGUCAGAAUGGCUGGAGUGUUACACACACCACUCAGAGUAUCUGUGUCUUGAAGGGGUCAACAGUGGA